GAAGGCAGAGAGGAUAUGAGGGACAAAAGCAAAGGAGUUGAGAGGGUGGAGAGGUGGUGAAUGGGGUGAGGUGAGUGGUAACAGGAGGUAAGGAAGAAAGAGGCAAUGAGGGGGAUAAGAGUGGAGAUAAUGGGGUAUAAAAAGAGAUGAGGAACUAGGAGAUGAGAGGAGAAAAGGAGAGAAGGACGCAGGGAAGGAAGGAAAGAAAAAAAGAUUGAGAAAAAGAAUUGAUGAGGCAGUGAAUGAGGUGAUGGGGAAAAGGGGAAGCAAGGGAAUUCAAGGAGGAGAUGAGGUAGUUAGGAGGUGAGAUGGUGAGGGAAGAGAGGGGAGGAGAGGCAUGAAGGUAAGAGUGAAAGUGAGGGGGAAAGAGAGGAGAUGAAGGGAAAGUGAGAAAGAGAUGGAUAGAUGAAGGCGAGUGAAAAAGUAAGAGAAAGGGUGAAGGGAGAGAGGUAGGAAGAAGUGAGUUCAGGAGAGGAGCAGGGAAGAGGGAAAAAGCAGGGAAGAUGAGUAGAAGGAGGAAAAGAUAAAGGAAAGAUGGAGGGAGUUACAAGAGGGGAAGAGGAGUGGAAAGUAAAAAGAUAGUUUGGGAGGUAGGUGAACGGAGGAAGAGAUGAGAAAGAAUGAAAAGAAAACAUGCUGGGAGAUGGAAAGAGAAAAGGAACAGGAAGGGGUUGAGAAGUGAGGGAAAAAGGAAAGUGAAAGGGAAGCAGAGAGAGGUGUAUUCACAGACACUUUCCACAAAGAAUUUCACCAUGCCUGUCAGCAAGAGACACAAUGUACAACCAACCCUCCUGUCACCACAACAGAGCCAACUCCUGGCUAUCCAGGAGGGAAUGAGCAACUGUGCCACAUACUGCUGAGAAGUCCCAGUUGGAUGAGGACAGAGAAUUGACCACUAGAUUGAGCUACACACAGGAAUGUGGCUGUACUGGGUUGAACAGGGCCCCCCAGAAGCUCAUGUCCACCCAGAACCUGUGAAUAUCACAUUAUUUGGACAUCAGGUCUUUGCAGGAGUAGUCAAGUUAAGGAAAUGUGCUCGAGGAAUAAUGAAAUGUUUAGACCAUAAAGAUCACUUUGCACAACUUGGAGACUUCACAGAUGAAAAAAUUGAGGCCCAGAGAGAGUCAGUGACUUGCCCAAGGUCAUGUGAUGAGAGGCGAGAGAACCGACAGGGUCCUUCCCAACCAGAAACAGAGACCAUCCUCCAGGUCCCAGCUGAGAGCCAGGGGCAUCUUGAUUUGUACCUGCCAGGUCUUUCUCAAGGGUGGGAGGUCUCCCAGAUGAUAUCUCAUGGGGGGCGGCUGAGGCAGGGGGCAAUGAUAUGACUUGUCCUAAAGCAGCAUUGGCAGAGCAAGCUUACUGAUUUGUUUUUGUCAUUGUUGUUUCGAUUUAGCUGACUUAUCAAAGUUCAUAAAAAUCAUCAAGUUUUCUAAGGAUUUUUAUAUUCCACUAGAUGUUAAGAUGCUUAAG